rnacentral:rRNA from 1 species
CCUACGGGGCGCAGCAGUGGGGGAUAUUGCACAAUGGGGAAAACCCUGAUGCAGCGACGCCGCGUGAGCGAUGAAGUAUUUCGGUAUGUAAAGCUCUAUCAGCAGGGAAGAAAAUGACGGUACCUGACUAAGAAGCCCCGGCUAACUACGUGCCAGCAGCCGCGGUAAUACGUAGGGGGCAAGCGUUAUCCGGAUUUACUGGGUGUAAAGGGAGCGUAGACGGCAGUGCAAGUCUGAAGUGAAAGGCAAGGGAUAAACCCUUGGACUGCUUUGGCAACUGUGCUGCUGGAGUGUCGGAGACGCAA